rnacentral:rRNA from 1 species
GACGAACGCUGGCGGCGUGCUUAACACAUGCAAGUCGAACGGAAAGGCCCUGCUUUUGUGGGGUGCUCGAGUGGCGAACGGGUGAGUAACACGUGAGUAACCUGCCCUUGACUUUGGGAUAACUUCAGGAAACUGGGGCUAAUACCGGAUAGGAGCUCCUGCAGCAUGGUGGGGGUUGGAAAGUUUCGGCGGUUGGGGAUGGACUCGCGGCUUAUCAGCUUGUUGGUGGGGUAGUGGCUUACCAAGGCUUUGACGGGUAGCCGGCCUGAGAGGGUGACCGGCCACAUUGGGACUGAGAUACGGCCCAGACUCCUACGGGAGGCAGCAGUGGGGAAUAUUGCACAAUGGGCGGAAGCCUGAUGCAGCAACGCCGCGUGCGGGAUGACGGCCUUCGGGUUGUAAACCGCUUUCGCCUGUGACGAAGCGUGAGUGACGGUAAUGGGUAAAGAAGCACCGGCUAACUACGUGCCAGCAGCCGCGGUGAUACGUAGGGUGCGAGCGUUGUCCGGAUUUAUUGGGCGUAAAGGGCUCGUAGGUGGUUGAUCGCGUCGGAAGUGUAAUCUUGGGGCUUAACCCUGAGCGUGCUUUCGAUACGGGUUGACUUGAGGAAGGUAGGGGAGAAUGGAAUUCCUGGUGGAGCGGUGGAAUGCGCAGAUAUCAGGAGGAACACCAGUGGCGAAGGCGGUUCUCUGGGCCUUUCCUGACGCUGAGGAGCGAAAGCGUGGGGAGCGAACAGGCUUAGAUACCCUGGUAGUCCACGCUGUAAACGGUGGGUACUAGGUGUGGGGUCCAUUCCACGGGUUCCGUGCCGUAGCUAACGCUUUAAGUACCCCGCCUGGGGAGUACGGCCGCAAGGCUAAAACUCAAAGGAAUUGACGGGGCCCCGCACAAGCGGCGGAGCAUGCGGAUUAAUUCGAUGCAACGCGUAGAACCUUACCUGGGUUUGACAUGGAUCGGGAGUGCUCAGAGAUGGGUGUGCCUCUUUUGGGGUCGGUUCACAGGUGGUGCAUGGCUGUCGUCAGCUCGUGUCGUGAGAUGUUGGGUUAAGUCCCGCAACGAGCGCAACCCUUGUUCACUGUUGCCAGCACGUUAUGGUGGGGACUCAGUAGAGACCGCCGGGGUCAACUCGGAGGAAGGUGGGGAUGACGUCAAGUCAUCAUGCCCCUUAUGUCCAGGGCUUCACGCAUGCUACAAUGGCUGGUACAGAGAGUGGCGAGCCUGUGAGGGUGAGCGAAUCUCGGAAAGCCGGUCUCAGUUCGGAUUGGGGUCUGCAACUCGACCUCAUGAAGUCGGAGUCGCUAGUAAUCGCAGAUCAGCAACGCUGCGGUGAAUACAUUCCCGGG